rnacentral:rRNA from 1 species
CCUACGGGAGGCAGCAGUGAGGAAUAUUGGUCAAUGGACGAGAGUCUGAACCAGCCAAGUAGCGUGAAGGAUGACUGCCCUAUGGGUUGUAAACUUCUUUUAUAUGGGAAUAAACUGUUCCACGUGUGGGAUUUUGUAUGUACCAUAUGAAUAAGGAUAGGCUAACUCCGUGCCAGCAGCCGCGGUAAUACGGAGGAUCCGAGCGUUAUCCGGAUUUAUUGGGUUUAAAGGGAGCGUAGGUGGAUUGUUAAGUCAGUUGUGAAAGUUUGCGGCUCAACCGUAAAAUUGCAGUUGAAACUGGCAGUCUUGAGUACAGUAGAGGUGGGCGGAAUUCGUGGUGUAGCGGUGAAAUGCUUAGAUAUCACGAAGAACUCCGAUUGCGAAGGCAGUUCACUGGACUGCAACUGACACUGAGGCUCGAAAGUGUGGGUAUCAAACAGGAUUAGAUACCCCAGUAGUC